CAUUUAUUUCAUAGCAUUAGUUUAAUCUAUGGAUUAGAAACUAGAUGCGCAAAAAUCGAAUGGUAUAGAAGCUUGCAGAAUGGGAAUGGUAUACUAGUAGUGUCUUUGAAGUGAUUCUCCAAUUCGGUUUCAAAAACAAUAUCUGAGAAAUUGGCAUCUCCCACGGUAACAAUGGUUGCUUUAUCUUACCAAAAGUUCAUUCGAAUCCGAUUCCAAGACAAAAUUUUAGAAACACCAAGAGAAGCAUAUAGAUUUGUCCAGAAUUCGCCAGCUUUAAAAAAAAAAAAAAAAAACCGAAAAAAAUGCUUUUCUUUCUUCUAUAAGUAUGUAAAUUGGGGCCAAGGAAGUUGAUCAGAAUCAUAGAUUGACAAGGCCAUAACCCAAUCGUACUUCAUAACUUCUAGCCAGAGCUUGUCUUGAUUUCUCCAUGGGAAAUCACAAAAACCAAGAACCAACAAGCGACAACAAAUCAGCUGCAUGUUGUCCUCCGGUGACAAGAAACAAGGGCAACGGCAGGAACAGAAGCUUCAUUGAAGGAUGUCUCUUUGCUUUAUGCUGCUGCUGGCUGUGGGAUGCUUGCUUCGAUCUCUAGAAUAAGGAGCAAUCAGAUGGCAGUGUGAAAUUGCAUCUGAAACGUUCGUCUCCGUUGCUGAAUUUUUAUUUUGUACUUCAUAAAAUGGUAAUAUAGUACUAUAAUGACGUUUGAACGUAGAUUAUUAAACUCAAAUUAUAGUACUUGCGUUUGUAACUAUACUUUUUUUUCAUCGGUGCGAUAGAAAGAAAAAGUAUAUACUUUCGUAUCUGUGAGUGAUUAGUAAUCAAAUUAUAAGAUGUUUUGUUUGUAAUUUAUCAAAUUCUUCUCUAGCUGCUGUUGAAUUGAUAUCAAACAUGUAUUAAUCUUUAUUCAAUGUUUGACAAUGGAGAAAUUUUAUA